UCCAGCAAAGUCUUGUAAAAUAGGAAAAACCUGGAAGUUUAGGAUAAAGAAGAAUGUCAACAAUGAGCAAUCUGAGUGAUGUUCUAAGCUAAUUUGCUUCAAUCAGGUAAUCUCUGUAUCAUGGCUCACUGAACUCCACUUGAUGACAUGCAGAACAGUAACUUGCAAUGUUGUAAUAAUAAGCUACAGUGGUUUUAUUCAUUUUCAUAAAAUAAAGGAUAAUGGUUAACUCCACAAUGCAUAUACCUUGAAUUGGACUGGGUUUUCUGAACAACAGAUCAGCAGAAUUAUAUGUCAGCUCUGCGGAUAAUGAAAUCUUCUGUCACAGUUCAACCAGGUUCGGUGGGUCUCAGAUUGUAGUUGCCAAGGGUACAAAAUUCAGCAUAUGUUUGCAAGAGUGUCUCGAGAUAAACCCUGAUCCCACAUACAAAGUGUCUUUACACACACAAUUAUUAACACUGUAAGAGGCAUAAAAUGCACAGCAGGCUAGUAUGAAUGGUAAGACAACCUAUACACGGUAUAAAAUUCGCCAUUUUACAUGCAUGAAGUCAUACUCUUGGACAUGGGUAAGAACUACCAGAAGACUUGUAUAUGAAAUAUGUGAAUUUUUCACAAUGGAGACAGCUGUGACAACUUCUAUGAAUUAUGGUCCGAUGCUACCGAUGCAGGAUCAAGCUUUGAGAUGAGCUUCAGGAGUGCCAAAGAUAUCCAAGUGUCAUGCUGACAAAUGCUAUGAAGACCACAAACAAAAAUGGGAAACCAGCCUGAACUCUAGCAGAACUCUUCAGUCUCAGCAAAGCCUGAACAAAGAAAAUGGCACUGUUAAAGAGUAGACUAAAGACUGGUAACAAUCAAUUAUAACACAAAGCAUGAUGAAAUUAGAUGACCACUCAUUGUUGCUGAUCAACAGCUACUAGACAAACUACCAAAUUCUCGAAGGGUUCUCCAAGAAAACAAAUGACAUUGUGCAUUUUACACAUAUAGCUUAUGAAGAAGCCAAUUUCAAACAAAUGACAUUAUGUUCAUGCCUCCCGUCAUCAUUCGUUUAAUAUGAAGAUUUACUGCAGCUGAAAAAACAUGGUCUACCAGAAUAAUUUUAGUAAAUAGAAGAGAAGCAGAUCAAUAAUGCAUAGGUGAUCCACCCAAAUGCAAACAUUGGAGAAGACCUACAGAAGAGAGGUUCUCUGUUGCAACCAGUUAUUGGCUCUUAAUAAGAGUGGUUGAGACAGGAGCCAAAACAGAUGUACAUUUAUAAAGAUCAUAUAGUGUAUGAGAAGUUUUGCAGCAGAAAAAAAAUGUUGGCUUGCCCGCAAAUAUCUAAGCAAAUGAUGCACAAUAUUGAAGUUCCAUCUCCCUCUAUAUAAAAUGUUUGUAAUAGCAUAGUAGUAAAGUCAUUUACAGAAAAGAUUACACUCACAAUUUCUUGCUGCAAUUUCUCUCCCUCUUGCAAGGUUGCAUUAUUCUCUUUCUUCAGACUCAUAAUUGUCUUCUCAGCCUGCAAAAGGUCCAUACCUUAGUUUACACAAUUUAUGGUCAGAACGCAUUUCCUAGAAUAUGAAAUUUAACCUCAGUUCUAUUAGUUUCUAAUGCUAAUAGAGAAAAGAAUAUUGACUGUAAAAGUUGGGCCUAUACAAAAGGCAUGCUUUAAAUUCAUGAAUGAGCACAAUAAAUACACUAACCACAAUGAAUUUCUGCACAUAAUUUAUGGCUCUACAAAAUGAACACAUCUUCUGCAAAUAAUUUGACUACUUAUUAAAAAUCCAGAUCCUGCAUUGGUGGAAAACUCGGGUUUUCUGGAAUAACCAAAAAUUGGGGACAGUAUUUUAUCAGAACAUAAUGAUAUUUCCACUGUGUAGGAUCACUUACUGAGUGUUCACAACUGCCAGAGUAACAAACAUUGAAAGCAAAAAUUUGCCAUUUUAUGUGGAAGCAAGCUUGUUAAAUCAUGUCAUGAGACAAUGAUGUAGGAUCUUGUUUUACUUAUUUCUCAUUUGAAUAAAUUUUAUUAAUUUAGGGCACUUUGUAAAAAUCAUAAGCUGCCACAUGGUGACAUUUCCAAUAUUAUACUUUAUUUUCCUAGAUUACUGGAGAGAAAAAAAAAAAAGAUAGCAAAUGAACAAAAAGAUGGAAGAAAUCAAAACUUGGUUUAAUUAAAGAUUACAAGUUGUAAUGGAAGAUUCCAUCUCUAUAAGGAGUUGUCAUCAUACUACAAAUAUAAAAGUCUAUAAAUUGGAUAUAUUAUCCAAAAGAAAGAUAAUUUGCUAAAACAAAUCAGGAAAAUUUUCUUCCCAGAAGAAGGAGACAGUAGAUGAUCAAUUAGCUUUCAUAAUAUUAUAAUCCUUUCUUAGCUCUGAAUUUUAUUUUAUUUUUCCUAUAAUUGGGGUCAAUAAAAAGAGGGCAAAAAUUAAAACUGAAAAUCAAUCCUUUUCCCACAAUAUGUGCUAGCGGUAUGAUGUCACAUAUCAAUUCUUGAUGGUGUAAUUAUAUUGUCCAACAUGUAAGACAUGACUAGGUGUGAGUACCCUAGGAGCUAUUUCUUGAGUUGGAAGUAAGUCGAGUAGUUAUUUGUUUUUAAACUAUCUUUUCCUUUCUCUCUCUUUGCUUUCCUCUAUCCUCAGAUAAAAAAGAAUACACAUUCUUUGCUUGUCACAAACUUGUCCUACAUCACAAGUGAACGUUAUCAUAGGGCAUAAAGAAUAUAUCCUAAUACCAAAGGAUAGCUACUUGAUGAGAUGAAAAAUAUUACAAAUAACAUUAGAGUUGUGGCAUCAAAUAAAUGCAAACAGCUAUAUUGAAAUUAACUAACCUCAUUUAGUUUCACUUCAAGAUUGUUGAGCUUGAACUUUAAGUCAUCAAUGUCUUUAGCAACCUACAUAAGCAUAAGCAAGGUUAACCAGCUGAAUUAGAUAAAGCAACAUGGGGAUAUCAUGCAUAGAAAAAUCAUCUGAACAUUGAAAAUGUAGAUAGUAUCAAGGCUGAUCUUAACAAAUAGAAAAACAUUAUGCUGUCACUGUGUUUCUUUUACGACAACCACACAUGUUUACAAACUUAUGACACAUAGGAGAUCCAAAUUCUAACAACUUGAUGUGAAUGAACACGGAUGUGUUCUUAUUGGCCAAAGUAAACUUCUAUGGAAAAAACCAGAAACAAAAACAUAAAUUAGACUAGGAAGGAGAUAUUACUGGAGAAGAGAUAAUGUCAGGCACUUCAUUCAAUGCUUGAUUACUUGAAAUACAAGCCUUUUCCAACAAAGGAUUUUCAUGAAUGGCCUCAUGUUUUGGAGCCCCAUUGUGCAAAACAGAAGUCUUUCUCAAAAUAGGAACUUCAUUAGCCAAUUCGUGCUGCAGAGCACCAUCAUCAAAGAUGCAAGUCUCAGCUGAAUCAGGAUUUUCUAAAGCUGGCUCCUGUCUCACCCCAUUGAUUGGUUCUACCACUGGAGAAUGUGGAGGGCUUGCAAGGACAACUCUCAAUUUGUUCUCUUGGAUAUAUCUACCAUUUUCUUUAGAGAACUGUUGAACCAAAAAGGAGAAUAUCAAAACAUACAUAACAUACUACAUAUUCAAAGGAAAAACUAUAAUGUAUACUUACAAAACUUGGCAUAAUAUCCUCAUCUGUGGUACCAUAAGGAACAACAGUGCUCUGAACCAGAAACUUGUCUUUUAAUUGCAUAUCUGGUGGAACUUCCUUUGGUGCUUGCAUGGUAACUAAAAUGGAAUUGCAUAAUCAUGUAAAUAAACAAAAGAAUAUAGGCCCACCGAUAUGCAAUACAGAAGCUAACAUAAAAUUAACAUGAUUCGUUACACAAUUCAUUUAUUUCACUUCAGUGUUAACUACUAAGGCCUAAAAUUCUCCUCCAUCAAUGUACAAUAAUCGUAAAUCAUCAAACAACUAGCCCAUCAUAUGUUAUUACACUGAUUCAUUGUAUAAAUGGAAGUAACUCAUGGUGCAAACUAAAAAUAAUAUCAAUUAUUUAGAGUUAUUAGGCAAAAAUAACAUAAAAUAUGUCCGAUACAUGAGAUGUUUCAACUACGGCAAGAACUUGUGUAACAGAUUCUUCCAUAAAAAGAAAAUAAGUUGUUUUUAAUUGAGGCAUUUUAAAAACAUCCUAUGGGCAUAUUCAUAUCAUUCUUUUAUUGUUAACUAUAAUUUUAAGGCAAAAUAAGAAAAUGUAUAACCAGAAACAAAAAAAAGUCCUUAAGAUGUCCUCUGAAAAAAACAUCCACUAGGCAUUAUUUAAGUGGUUUGCUGUCACAGUUACGGCAUGAGAAGUCUCUGUGUAUGACACUAGGAAUGUUCUCUGAGUUUUUUAUGCAUGUAAUUCCACCCUUGCAGGGAGCUCUACUUCCAAUUCUCUCACUUCUUCUCAAAAUUCAUACACUCAAAAACUAUUCCUGAAAACACAAUCUGACUCUAUAGUUUUAUAUUUCUGUCAAAUUUGUUAGACAAAAUUUAACAAUGCUUGUUAAAUGUAGACAUUCAAGUUGGAAUUUAUCUUCAUAAUGCUUCAACAGUUAAAGCUCCUACUUCCUUGAAAUUGUAGUCACAAACCUUAGCAUGCCAAGUGUUUUGUUAUAGUAGAAUCAAUCUCAAAUUUUAUCUUUAAAUAGGACUAUUGAGAAUCAAGCCUAUGAUGAAACCAAUUUUAUCUAGUAAUUGAACCCAAUUUUAAGCUCAAUAUGAGUUUCUUGAGGAAUCUAAUUAGAAUACCAUCCCAUUAAGUCGAUAGAAGAGUCCUAGAUAAUUGCACCAAGAAGUUGAAAGCCCAUUGUACAAGCAUGAAAUUGGCAUAAAUUAAAUUAUCCAUUACUUCAUAAAUUGGAUCAUCAAAACGUCAGAUUCUUAUGCUGUUCAUAGGAAUCAGAAAAUAAAAAAAGUUGGCCAUAAGUAUCAUAUCAAAAAAUCAGUCAGUUGACAAAUUAACAUAUAUUGAGGGAGGAAAGAGUGAUUAUUCAUUAUAACCUUCGAAUGGAGAAAAAUCUUGAAUUUAAUAACAAGGAAAUCAUCCAACUGGUAGUUGACUCUUAUUUCUUAACAAAAAAAAAUGUUACUUAGGGUUACUAUUCAUAUCCUUGAUGCAAAAGGGCAUUAAUUGUUCUCUUUGUCUUCAUAAAUCAAAAGGUUGACUAUCUAUGUAGGAAAUUUUUUAUAGAACUCUUUAUCAUAUUAAAUGUUGAUUCUUAAACUAAAAAAAAAAGUAAAAAGGAAGCUUAGGUUUAUAUUGAUGGCCACAUAUCCAUAUUUCUUAUCCCCACUACAUUUCUCUUCUCCAUUCCGUCUAAUGUCUUCACAAGGCAGAGUACCUAACAUAGCAUCUUCCUGAUGGAAAUCAACAAUUUGUAAAUCUAUGCUAGGCGUGGAAAGAUAAAGGGCCAACUCAAAUCCCUUUGGAUUGUUGAUAUAUUUGUAUUCAGAUUCAACCAACAUGCUUUCAAAUAGUAUAGUUAUCUUUUUCUGUUUCUUUGGAAAAAUUUUAGUACUUUAGAGGUGAUUUCUGUAAAAAAAAUAUGUUGGCAAUAUUGACUAAGUUUUCGCUUUAGUUCCCUAGAUUGAUUAAGGAUAAGAAAAGAAGGAAGUCGAAUGAAGAAAAAGAUGAAAAAAUAAACUGAGUUUAAUUAAGAUAACAAAGCUUGAUUGGAAAUUCCAUUUUAUAAAAAACUUCAUCAUUAUACAAAGAUAGAAAUAUAUGAAUCGGAUAUAUUAUAAAAAACAAAGAUUAUUUGGUAAGAUAAAUCUAAAAGAUUUUCUUCUUUUAGAUUUAUCUUAACAAAUAAUAUUUAAAUAAUUAAAGGUAAAACUGCGUACAUUAACCCUCCCUAGACCUUGUAUCAACGGGAGCCUCAUGCACAGGGUACAUCCUUUAAAUCUAGAAGAUUUUCUUCCCUAAAGAAGAAAAAGAUACACAGUUUAUUUGUCUUGAUUAUCGUGCAAGUGGUGCGGAACCACAACCUUCUCACAAAGUUAAGAGGACUUAAGAGUACAAUAAGUCGACCAUUUCCUAUCAUCCUCUUCUCUCGUCCCCAGUUAUCCUACCAACAUAAUUCCAUCAUUAUGGAUCUCUAAAACCCCAAAAUCCCUGCCGUCUGACAAUUAUUUUUGACCAUACAAGAUCCACCAAACCCCAAAUUGCUGCAAACCUAAUGUUUUUGGCGAUACCUGGAAUUCAGAAUUAGUGAAUUAACUUCACAAGAAAAAAAUGUCUCUCUCUCUCCUCAAGCCUGGUGUGCAUUUGAAUUUGCACCACUUGUAUUUUCAUUAUUAUGAAUUGAGUGUUCUAUAAAUUGAGCAUGUUUUAUCAAAUUUGCCCUCUUCGAUUCAACUUUUGGCCACCUUUUUUCCUCUUUCAUAUAUUCUUAAUUUUUUUUUAUUAACAUACUUCAAUAAUUCAAUUUAUUACGCAAGUCCUAAACAUGAAUUACAGAAUUGUGUUGGGCACUGAGCACAGAUUAUUUUUUCCCAAGAAAAAGCUUAAAACUUGAUAAUGAUAACAACAAAAUACACCCGUUUGCAUCAAAGCAAACCAAAAGAUCUAGCUCAAGAGGCCAAUUUUCCUUCCACCAAGCACAGAUCUUGCUAUGCACUCACACAUGUCAAAUCUAGGCUGCACCAGUAAAACAAAAACAUCAAAGCUAGCUUUUCUUAUUUCAUGUGUUCCAUCUAACCAGUUUCACUUUAAUCGAGCAAUACUAAAAUCUUUUGCCGUCAUUGAGAGAUAUGUAAAAAGUCAUACGUGUAGUUAAGUUCUAAAGUUAAAAGCAUUAGUCAUAUUCUCUUCGCUAAGGAUAUAAGGAUAUAUAGUUAAGUUAAACAAGAAAUUUCAUUAAAUAAAAAAAUCUUGGUAUCUAGAUCAAUUAUUCAACAAAAUGGAAAGAUAGAUAAAAAUAUUAUAUCAAGAAAUUUUGUACGAUCACUAGACAUUUCUCAUAUAAAAACGAAAAUUAUAUAUGAUUAGGGAUACUUUAUGAAUUUGGGUAUUGGGCAGUUAAAAAACAACAUAUGCAAAAUGUAUAUGUUAAGAUGAGAAUGUUGAGGGACAUAUGUAAAGCUAUUAGGAAUGAUAGUAAAAGAAAUGUUCUAUUCAUGAAUAAUUAGAUGUAUUUUCAAUAGAAGAUAAGAUAACAUUACAAAGAAUCAUUUAAGAUAAUAUGGACAUGUGUUAAGAAUACCUACAGAUAUGGUAGUUGAAAGAUAUGAAACUUUUAAAAUUAGUUGUAAAAGAAGAGGUAGAGAGACUUAAAAUGACUUUAUUAGAAACUAUAAAUAAAGAUUUACAUACUCUUGAAUUUAACCAAGAAUAUGAUUUCUUAUAGAGGUCAAUAGUGGCAAAAUAUCCAUGUAGCCGACCCUAGACAAUUGGGACUUUAUGGCUAAAGCUUUGUUGUUGCAUUGUAUUGACAAUAAGUAUCAAACCAUUGGCCAACUAGGUCAAAGGUGCAGCACUUAAGACAAUCCUGAUUCCUACAUGCAUAAUAGCUGAAAAGUAUAAAACAACACCUUUGAGCCACAUGCCACCACGCUCUAUAUCAAUCCCUAAAUUUCCUUGAUUUUGAUUAGCUAGGAAUGUAGCCCACUUGUUGAUGAAAACUGAUGUCAAACUUUUCAUGAAUAUUGUCCACUUAAAGUUGAUAUAGGAUUGAUGACUAAUGAAAGUUCUCCAAGCUGACCCUGUCUUGACGGGAAAAAGGUUUGACUGAUAAUGAUGAUUAGUGAUUACAAUAUCCAAUUGGAUCCACCCUUUUCCCAAGGCAUCUUUUUUCUUUUGCGAAUGUAUCGUAAUUGCUUACUAGCAAAUUUAAAGCACAAAAACAAAAAAGUACAUAGUUACACUGUUCAAACAAAAGUGAGAUAGCAGACCUGUAAAGUCACAUGUUGAUCUAGGUAGAAUGAUGCCUGUAUUUGGUCGCACACAGUAUCUCUUGGGAGAUGUAGUUUUAACCUAACCAAUAUAGAUACAGUUGAAUCAGUUACUAUGAUGAACCAUUUAUAAAUAAAAUGGAAAUGCCGUAAUGGAGAGACAAUGUUCAUAAUUAUAAGUAGCUCCAAACAAAAACUCAUUAGACCAUUUCUAACAUAUGUUUUUCAUGUCGGUAUCCAAAGAUAACUACAAAAUGACUAGGAACAUUAACCUCAAGUAUGGGAUUCUUAGCAAAGUUAGUAACGAUAGCAGAUAUAGGUACCCAAAGCUAAUAGAAAACAGCAAGGCAACAAGUGGGAACUGAGAACAGGCUAAUUAGUAAUACUUUGGUGUGAGAAAACAUGCAAGAAUGUAAACGUAAAGUUCUCUUUUGAGAAUAACUGACAAAGCAAUCAGUCUAACACAGAUAUUUAAUUAAUGGAAUAUUAGAGAAGCUAUGUGAAGUAUGAAACUUCCAUGAGACCAUUUGAGGGGUCCAGAACACAGCUUUUGGUCAUCCCAUCUCUAAAGAUUACAUAUAAAUAUUAGGUACACAGUUGGGGAGAAGCACUAACCUUGUAAGCAACAUAAUCUGUGGACUUGUUGACAAGUUGAACAGUACAUGAGAUCUGCUUCUUCAACUCAACUAGAAUGGACAAAGAAGGUGCAUUAUGCUAGUAUCAACAUAAAAGAUCAAACAGAUUUGUUAAGUUUAGAUUUUAGAAUAACUUUGACAUUAACAUUAAAAAAAUAGGAAUCUGAAGCUUUAUACAACACAUGCACUCAAAUAUCCUGGAUAUAAAAUGUAUAUAUGAACUGAAGCCACAGUAAUUACAAAAACGACUAAGAAGGAAUGAUAGUAGGAAUUGAUAUAAAAUGUGCAUAUGAAUUGAAGCCACCGUAAUUACAGAAAGAACAAAGCAAGAAUGAUAGUAGGAAUUGAUAUAAAACAUAUCAAAGCCAGCGAACGAAUACAUAAACAAGUCAAUAAAACAAUAAAAAAAGGACAAAACAAAAAAGAGAGUAAGAUAGAUAACUAUUCUUGCUAAAAUUUGAAAUCGGUAGCAUCUAUGACUGUCAUGAAAUUGAAUCCUAGUAUGAUACAAGUGUCAGUGCACACCACAAUCUUAUAUUUGAUGUAUAACAUAUCACCACCGUACGAAGGUAGAAAUGAUCUGUAUCUUAAACCAAUGAACACCAAGAAACCCAAAAAUAGCACACAAAAUGAGAAAAUAAUAAUAAUAAUAAAAAGAAAUCCUGUAUCUUAAAUCCAUGAACACCAAGAAACCCAUGCAAUUACAAAAAUAGCACACAAAAUGAGAAAAAAAAUAAUAAAGAAAUCCCGGUAACGUGCUUAUUUGCGUCACAGCAUGAUUCCCUUAACUUGUCCUGCCGAUCCAUCAUCUUUCCGCAAUCCAAUUAACAACUUCUCAUGCUGAAAAGAAAACUGAAAGCUGAAUGGGGGAAAAGGUCGUCUUUUGACAAGCAACACUACUAGCAUUAUCAGCAAAUUCGCCGGACUAGAUGGUCAUCCGCACAAUCCACUUUGACAACUCAUCAAUCUCAUAGCACGAUUUAAACAUAUAAUAAUGAUCCUACGAAACGAAAUCGAUACGUUUAGACCUAUCCCCCGAUCGAGAACAUCAAGCAGCAAAUGUUUGCGUCGAGGCUUACAUGCGAACUUAAGUUCCUGAGGUUGGAUUUCCACAAGCACUUGACCCAACCCCAUCGCGCUUUCGUCCUCCGACGACGAUCCAGAAAUAGGAAAAAAAGAAUUAGUUCAAGACCAAAAGCCAAAGAUCGAGAGAUCGAGAUGGAAAAGAGAAAACCAAGUGUCGGGAAGAAACCCUACCGGUGAUCGCCGGUUGGACUUUUGGGUCGCGUCGAAAGACGGCGAAUUCGCCUCUCAGAUCGAUAGCAUUCAAGUCGAUAGCAAAAGAUGGAGUAAAAGAUAAAAGAGUUGAUGAACGGUUGCCGGACAACUUUUGGUGUGACCUCUUUAAGACGGCAGAGAGAGAGAGAGAGGAUGGAUCUGCUGUGUCGUCGAUUUCUUGCAAUAGGAGAACGUGUCAAAGGUGGCUCGUUUGAAUCCACUAGUGGUGGGACCUUGUUGAUGACGUGUUGAAUUACGGUUCGAGAAGCUCUUACGCUGCUGUUUGUGGUCAGGCAGUUGGAUUUGACGUUAAAGGCUUUUUGCUUCUCGAAACGCGCAAAAUCUCGCGACCUUUUAACUUGAGGAGAUUUUUCGAAAAAGGCCUUAUUUAGACCUUUUUUUACCGUAUAUGACCCUUUUCAGGUUUUUCUAAUAAUCUUUUCUUUCUUUCUUUCUUUCUCCAACUAAUUUUGAAUAUAUUGUUGAUUUGACAGUAAAUUAUUUAUUUAUUUAUUGUAUAAACUGAUCUACAGGAUGAAUCAAUCUCUCGAAUUAGAUCGAUUUCCAUUGAUUACAAUAUUUUUAUUGUAUCCUAGAAUUUUUUAUUAUUUUUUUAAGGUUGAUUCCUAUACAUAAAUAUUUUCUAAUAUUUUUCAUAAGGAUAUAUAAAAUAUUAUUCUAAUAUGUUUUCAGCUCAUUUUCCACUUUUACAAUGUUUUGAUUGUGAUAUUUUUAAAAAUAUGUCAAAAACAUUAUAACCAUAUUGAAAUGAUAUAUUUUCAAAAACACUGUAACCCUAUUAUAAAACAUUAUAACAUGAGAAAAAUAAACUCAAAGAUAUAUUAAGAAAGUACUUCUGAGCCUUGCUUGGAUCUUAAAUAGAUAUGGUUUCUUAUUUAAGAAAAUAAACAUUCAAAUAAUUUGACUUCUCUAUAAGUUACAAUAUUUUUCGACAUGGUUACGAUGUUUUUAAUAUAUUUUCAAAAAUACUGUAAUUUUAUUACAAAACACUAUAAUAGAGAAAAAUAAAUUAGAAAAAUAUUUAUAAACCUUGCUUAUAUAUCCUUAUGAAAAAAAAUAUUUAUGAUUCUUAUAUGAUAUAUAUAGUAUUUUUAUAAUGAGUUAAAAUAUUGUAAGCAAUACAAAGAAUUGAUGGUUUGUUGUGGAUAGGUAGGAAUACAAGACACAUAUAUAUAUUUCUUAAUAAGACAGGAAUGAAUGGGUAGGUGAAGACAUGGAAGUUUUUACUUUCCACAGGAUUGGAUGUGAAUUCUUGGCACAACCAACACAUCAUAGAUUUGGAUUAGGUUUAUGUGGGUAUUGGUUAUAAAUUUAGUGACAUAAUGAAAUCUGAUUAAUAGAAUGAUUGAUCACAGAUUUAUGGAAUUGAGACAACUAAUGUGCAUGUUUCAAUUCAUAAUCUAAGUCAUAAGUGUUAAUUUUCAAAUUAUGAGUACCAAAGGGACCACAUCACAAAACCAUGUUGAUCUUGAUUUUCUUAUAAGUCGAUACCAAGUCGACCUUCUAAGACCCUUUUAAUCACACCUGAAGAUCUUGCACACAUGGGUUUAAACAAUGUUUGAUUAAUCUAACUAUCGUCGAUAUUAUCUAUAAUAUUUUGACUUUAGAAGAAGAGUUUGCAUGUUGUAUGUUGUAAGAACGUUAUCUCGAAUAGUCUAGUGAGAGUUCUCUGACCUGGACUCAGCACUUUCUGACCCUUGAUACCUCCAGCACAAACCCUUCUAUAGUUUUGAUGAUUAUUCAAGAACUAGUCUUUUCCCUCUCGUGAAAACUUCAACUCACGUGAUGAUCUCUAUAGAGGUUUGUGCUAGUAGGUGCAGAUGUUGAUUAGGAUGAUAUAGUUUAUCUUUCUUUUAUGUAGUGUCUAAGUCUCACACACGUUGAAUUAUAAUUAGUAUGCUAACAAAAGUAUAAAUAAUAUGUAUAUAUUUUUAUCGUUUCAUGAUAUAAUUUGUGAUGUGUAUGCUUUAUAAAUAUGAUAAAUAAUAUAUUCAUGUUUUUGACUUUUAAUACUAAAGAACAUAUUUUUCAAAAAUAUCAUUCUCUGGACUUAAAUAUGAGAUUAAGUUAUGGUAAUAAGUAUACAUAUAGUGACUAAAAGUGACAAUUGAAUUGUAAUCGACCUUAAUGAAUCUUAAUGCUUGAAUAAGUUUAAAUAUAAUUAAAAUAAAAAGAUUUAAGUUUUAAACCACAUGUAUAUGAAUGAUAGAGUAAUGAAAAAUUAAAUAAGAAUAAAAAUCAAAGAGAAGUGUUAUACUAAAUGUUGAGAUACUUAAGUGAGAUUGUAUGAUGAGUUUAAAUCAAAAAUAUCAUCUUUAUCCAAAUCAAAUUAUAACUAAUAAGUUUAGCUAAUUAUUAGAAGAUUUAUUGGAAAUCUUGAAUAUUCUCUUCUCUUACAAUUUUUUGGUUUUCUUUAAUCUUUCUUACACCUCUUUUUUAUCUUCCAUGUUGUUUUAUCUCUUCUUCUCUUGUUCUUCUUUUCUCUUUAUUAUACGCCUCUUCAUCAUCAUGCUUCGAUGCAUUUAUAAUAGAAUUUUUAAUUUUAAAUAAUAUCAUCUGAUACGGGCAGUAUAUAUCAAUCCAACAAUAUAUCAGUACGUGAAUUACUCACUAUCGGGUGGAACGCUCAACAUUAUCUUAUAUCAGGCGAUAACGAUUGAAAUUUCGAUCAUUAUCACUCGAUAUAGCUCGGUAAUAAUGAUCAAAAUCGAUUGUUACAAAUCUAUAAUAGUGUUCCAGCAGUCAAAUUAAUUCUUGGAGCCUUUUCUCAUGGGUUUUUUAACUCAUCCUCUCCCAUGUUUCACUCUCAAACUCAUUUUUUUUUCUCAUAUUUGCACUCUCCUAUAUUUUAUAAAACAAUGAUUUAUAAAUUAAAUUGAGGCUAAUUUAAAAAAAUUUAAGAAGAAAGAACCUUUUAAUAUUCUCUUUAUUUAAUCUGAGAAUAAUUAAGAUCUUUAAUAUUAUGAUUAGUAUAUUUAAUAUUACUUAAUUUAAAAUUAAAAUAUUUAAUAUUAUAUUUUAUACAUAUUAAAUAUUGAAAGAUACGUGGUGGCUACAUAAGUAACUAUAAGAAUGAUGAAAUGUAUGUGGUGGCUGCAUGAGUAUUACUAUCAUUUGGAGGUCUUCAUUCAUAGCCACAAAAUUUAGAGUCGGUAAUGGUCAAACUAAUUUUUUCUCACAUCCGUACUCUCCUAAAUUUUAUAAAAUAAUAAUUUUUUAAUUAAAUCGAGAUCGAAAAUAUUAAGAGGAAGAACAUUUUAAUCAAGAGAUAUAUAUUUUCUUUCUUUAAUUAGAGAAUAAUUAAGACCUUUAAUAUUAUGAUUAAUAUAUUUAAUAAUAAUUAAUUAAAUAUUUAAUAUAUAUAUAUAUAUAUAUAUAUAUACAUAUUUCAUGUAUAUUAAAUAUUGAAAGAUAUGUGGUGGCUGCAUAAGUAACUAUAAGAAUGAUGAAAUGUAUGUGGUGCCUACAUAAGUAUUACUAUCAUUUGGAGGUCACAUAGGCCUUCAUGCAAUGCGCAUUCAUAGCCAUAAAAUUUAGAGUCGGUAAGGGUCAAAAUUGAUUGUAUCUUUUCUCAUGGGUUUUCAAACUCAUCAUCUUCCCUAUUUCAUCUUAGACUCUCUUAAACAAUCUCAAACUAAUUUUUUCUCACAUCUAUACUCUCCUAAACUCUAUAAAGUAAUAAUUUUUAAAUUAAAUCGAGACCGAAAAGAUUAAGAGGAAGAACAUUUUAAUCAAGAGAUAUGUAUUCUAUUUCUUUAAUUAGAGAAUAAUUAAGAUCUUUAAUAUUAUGAUUAAUAUAUUUAAUAAUAAUUAAUUUAAAAUUAAAUAUUUAAUAUAUAUAUAUAUAUAUAUAUAUUUCAUGAAUAUUAAAUAUUGAAAGAUAUGUGGUGGCUGCAUAAGGCUAAGUAAUGCAGUCUUUGUGCAUUCAUAGCUAUAAAAUUUGGACUCAGUUGUAAGUUGACAUAGGCCUUAUGCAAUGCCUCUUUAAGGCUAAGUAAGAACAAUUUCAUGGCGAGUUGCACGAUCAUUCACCGAUCCUGAGAGAACACAGUACGUCUUCGCCUGGAUUCCAGGAAUCUACUCAGGGUGGCGGAAAUCGCAAAUAUUUGCACGCAGUGAAGCCACCAUCCACCACUAGAUUGUGUCCGCUGAUGUACUUGGCCUCAUCCGAAGCCAAAUACACCGCCGCAUUCACCGCGUCCUCCACCUCGCACUUCGUCCCCUCCAACUCCCCCGUGGCCUCGAUCAUCUCCUUCACCCGCCGAACGUCUUCCUCCGCCGUCAUCUUCUUCACGGCGUUGAUCCCGAACGGCGUCGGCAGCGCAUGCGGCGAGAUGCAGUUCACCCUGACCCCGUGCUUGCUGAGCUCCGCCGCCGCCGACCUCGCCGCCCCCAGCACCGCCGCCUUCGACACUGAGUAGACGAGCGGCGUUAUCCCGCCGAGCACCCCGGCGAUGCUCGCGGUACACAGAAUGCACCCGGCGCGGCGCGGGACCAUCACGCGAGCGGCGUGCUUGAUCCCCGCCACCACCGACCGGGCGUUGAUGGCCAUGGUGCGGUCGAAGUCGGCGAGGUCGAGGUCGGUGAUGGACAUGGCAAGGGAUCCGGCGACGCCGGCGUUGUUGAACAUGAUGUCGAGAUGGCCAUGCUUGGCGACCGCGAGGUCGACGGCGGCGGCGACGUGGGGCUCCUGGCUGACAUCGCAGCCGACGAAGGUAGCGGCGGGGCCGAGCUCGUCAGCGGUGGCUUUGCCGAGCUCGUGGUGGACGUCGGCUAGGAUGACUUUUGCGCCGUGGCGGAUGAACUCAGCUGCGCUCGCUUUGCCGAUGCCGCUGGCGGCUCCGGUGAUGACUGCAACUUUGCCGGCUAACCUGCUAACGGUCAAAACUUGGUAUGGGUUUAAAGAGUUUGAGAUUGGUUUUUGUUCUUCCAGAGACAAAUAUAACUUGAGAAUUAUUCUCACAAAAUCGAUAGCAAAUGAUCGGUGACGUACUAAGAUCUAUCCAACAGCAGCAAAUGAUUAGCGUUCAUAAGCAACAUCACAUCAUAUUUUAUCUUUAUAAUACUUACUAAUAGAAAAUAAAAUUAAAUAUUUUUUAGUUACUUUGAUAUCAUUUUUUUUUUGAAGUCAACAUAAUUGAUAAAGAUAUGGAUAAGGAAUCAUAUCCAACUUCACUUUGUCAGAAUGCAUUUAGUGUGAAACACACGUUUUUUCUUAUUCAACUUUCAUUCUCAACCAUAUAGCGCUCGAGCGGGCGCGCGCGCGCACACACACAUUCACACGCGCGUGCGCGCUCACACACACACACAUUCGCAUGGGCGCGCUCACACACACACACACACAACACUCUCAUUUAAAUAUUUUUUUACAUUGAGAUAUCAUCCCUAAGCCCAAUGGAGAAAAGCAGUGAGAAAGUAGGAAAGAAGAUUAAGUUAGACCAAGAAUGGUUGUCAGGUUUUAGCAGCCAUUAUUAUCACAGAAAUCAGCAAAAUUUUGGAGUAAUACUGCUUGCUGCAUAGGCACAUCAAAGGUUUCUUUGCCCACUAAACAAUAUGAAGACAGUUCCUUUCUCUCUCUUAACCAUGUUUGAUGAGUUCAUGUCAAACAAUGAUAUUUCUACCUAUCUAUCUAAUCAUUGACAUCAAACAAACAUAAAGGUUUUGUCUAACUAGUUACUAGCAAUUUAUGUAGUUCACACUCUUGUGGAUGUGUCUGGGACAAAACCAGCCACCUUUUAGUUGCCAAAUCUGAGCCACCAUUACACAAUUCCAAGAGAAGAACAAGAACAAGAGAUGGUUUAGCAGGAAAUCAUACCUUGCAGGCUGUGUGGAGAAGUAGUGCUGUUGCUGCAGAUGGCUGACACCACCUCUCAUCGCCCAAAUCCUUUUGCACCUGAAAACCAUAACCAGAGAACACAUCAUUCUCUCUUUCACAUCAUUCUAUCUCGGAUCGAAGUCGUGGCGAGAUGAAGAAGAAUAUACACAAAAGUAGAUAUGAUCAUCUUCUUAGUUUCUUCUCUUGUUUCUUCUACCAAAAGAGAUAAGAAGCUCGAUCUAGAUUUACUUCCGAAGGAUAUCUGAUGGAGUCAAACAAAGAGAGGAGACAAGGAACAAGUUGGAGUGAGGACCACUGAUGGAGAAGGGAGGGUUGGAGAGAGACAAACAAUGACAGCAGCAUGGAAAAUGCAGCCCAACAAGUCUCAUCACCACUGUUGAUAGCCCACACUAUUGGUUUUUAUUUAAACCUAAUAAAAAAAUUACAAACUUCUUUUAUAUUUAUAAUUUUAUUUUAAUAUUCCUAGGAUAUUCUUUUACAAAGGGAUAUAAACGUUGUCGACUUGUCAUUUAAUUCUAAUACUCUUCCAAUUUUUUCAUAUAAUUUUAUUUUUUUAUCGAAAGGAAGCGAUGCAACUAGGUUUUCGAUAUCGAUGGUUGUGAGGAUGAUUGAUCCAAAUAGGUUACAUAAAAUAAUGAUAAUUGAGGAAUUAUGAGAAAUAAGAAUACGAUAGAUAAUUGAAUGAUUGUAUUAGAAAAAUUAUAUUUUAUUAUUUCUUAAGAUAAUUGUAUGAAGUUAGAGAUUACCAAUAAGAAUUAGUCCUUUAUAGAAGCACCAGACACUAAUUCUGAAUUGAUUCACUCAUUGUAGAUUGGUUUAAUCUGUUCACCAUUUCUGACAUUAUAAGACAAAACUGUGAGAAAAGGAUGGUACAUGGUAAAAGUAAUAUAAAAUAAGGCAUCUAACUACAGUAAAAAAAACUAUUGAAAAAAUUGACUAAUUAAUUUUUUUUGUGAGUUUUUUGAUGCCUUUGUAGGAUUAGCAAAAACGAGAAUUGGGGAGUAGAAAUUGUCUUUUUUAUUUAGAUCAUCAUUAAGUAUCAUUAGAGUAUCAUCCAAAAGAUUAAAAAAAUAUAUUAAACUCUUAGUGUAAUUUAGAUGCACCAAAUUGGUUAGUAUCCUUCUUCUUCUACCGUUGUCUAUAUUUAUCACCAUCACAUUCUAAUGUUCAUGAUCAAUUGAUACAUAGUUGUUUAUUCGAGUUGGGAUGAUGAUUCAAAUUCAAUUGAUAUCCAUUCUAAGUCAAUUUAAAUCUAGGUCACGAUUUAUAGAACACUAAACCCAUAAAAACUAAAUCAGGAGUUUUCUCGAUAAAUAUCCCUCGGAUGAUCAAGUUGGUUUUGGGGUUUGAACUAAUUAGUUAAUGCUAACAUGAAUUAUGUUUAAGAGCGAGUCUUUUUUAUAUAUGACUCUAGAAAUGGUUAUGUUGAUGGUUGGAGGUGAUAUUUUUGGUUGAGUGUGAGUCUUUUUUAUAUAUGACUCUAGAAAUGGUUAUGUUGAUGGUUGGAGGUGAUAUUUUUGGUUGAGUGUUUGUCGUAUCCAAUGCAUGCCAAUCAUGGGAUUCAGACAGUCAAUUGAUUGAUUGCCACAUGAUUAUGUGUCUAUCGUAUCACCCUUUACUGGCCCCUCAUUUUUGGGUUAUUAGGUUAUAGAGCUAUCGAGGGGUUUGAUGUUCGACCUCUCAAUUGGGUGUCAUCGAAAUAUGCAUUCAGAAUAUACAUUCGAACUUUUGACGCAUCAUCAAAAUAUGCAUUCGACCUUUGAGUUGUUGAAAUACAUAUAGCUUGAUUGUGAGCACUUCAUCUAAACCUGGAUCGAAACAGUGUGUAGGUAGUAUGACCAGUAAUACGGGCAAACCACCUCAGCCAUUGCAAGCAAAUAAUAAUCUGUGUAAAAUAAUUAGAAAAAAAUAAAUUGGAGAGGAACAUUCAUUCUUUAAGAAACUGUCUGAAACAAGAAGAAGACCAAUACAACAUACAAUACCAAUAAAUUCAGGGAUAUCAUCAUUAUUCCGAGUGCAGCAAUGAUGUGCCUAUAACUUGAAGUGAUCAAUCAAAGAUCUACUGCUUAAUUCUUUACCGAAGAAGGUCCCCAUGAACUCUGCCAUGGUGAAGUUCCUGUAGCGUGCAGGUUUCACCGGUGAUACUAGCUCUGGUAAAGGUCCAUAGAAGACCGACUCCCCACGCUUUCCAGGGUUGAAGAAGGUUGCAACGGAGACUCUGGCUUCUUGAUGUGGAUUAGCCAACACCCUGUGUUCCACACUCUUGUAUUCGUCAUUGGACAUUAUCUGCACAAAAGAGAAUAUAUAUAUAUAUAUAUAUCUAUGAGCAACAAACUCCAUGGAAAACUUGGGAACAUCAAAAGUUGGCAUCCUGCUGUAGAACAUGCGAAACAAAAGGCAGAGGAAACCGAUAUAAAUUGAGAGAAAGGGAAGGCUUUUACUGAUACAUGUAAUCCAACAAUAAGAAUCUUACAAAUGGAUGCAAUCUGGUUCCAUAAAAAUGACAACAAAAUUCCUCUUGCCACUACUUAUGCCAUAUCGUGCGACCUCUCCACCUUUCUUUUCAUUAGAACAGUUACGGUAAUACAAAUUGCCAUGGUUGAUCUCAGAUGAUCAAGGGAUUGUAAUUACAGAGGAGAUAAUGGUCAGCUAAGCAGAAAGUUUAGGGACGAGAUCAUCAUUCAUGACCCCUUGCUACUCCUGAGGCACUAAAGCUCAAGUUGAAGCAAACCACAUCAUCAUUAGCAUGAUCAUGAAGAAGAUACAGAAUAAUUCUGAGGUAUUAUGAGCAUAUCAAACUUGUGGAAGGAUAUGGGCGGGUACUCUAAUGCUUUAUACUAUGGCGUUCAGCCAUGAUGUGGCUUUGUCUAUGGAAAUCAAUGUUGGUUCAUUAAGAGUGAUCACAAGCAAACAAUGCAUAUGGAGCUAGAAAAGUUGCACAACAUAAGGUUGUUGGCUCAUUAUCUGUUUAAGAUCCAGCAACCAAGAUUUUUCAUUAUGAGUUUUUCUUGAAAAUGAAAAGAAAAUUACCAGUCAGUAAGAAAGAUCCAGUGAAUGGAAAAUGGGUACUUAUUUAAAAAGAUUAUGUGAAAUAUAUAGAAGUUUUGAAGGGAAUGCAUAUGUGCAAAUUGAUCUGAUUGGAAGUAUAUGAAUCCAAUCAGUAAUAACAAAGCUGUACCGAAAACAAAAAUCUCACAACCAGGUAGCAAUGUGCAGGCCGAUAGCUACUAUAUCUUUGAUCCAAGUUGACUAAUAUAAUGGUCAGCUCCAUUGGUGAAUGCACUUGAUAUGGAAUCAAAAUAAGCCAAGCCGACUAAAAACAAGCCAACCAGCAGAAUAGCAUAAAGACCAGUUAGAGACCGGUAUCUUCAGUCGAUUGAUCACAAUAUAAGGAAGCAANNNN
rnacentral:lncRNA from 1 species